ACUCCUGCGGGAGGCAGCAGUGGGGAAUUUUGGACAAUGGGGGCAACCCUGAUCCAGCAAUGCCGCGUGAGUGAAGAAGGCCUUCGGGUUGUAAAGCUCUUUUGUCAGGGAAGAAACGGUGGUGGCGAAUAACUACUACUAAUGACGGUACCUGAAGAAUAAGCACCGGCUAACUACGUGCCAGCAGCCGCGGUAAUACGUAGGGUGCAAGCGUUAAUCGGAAUUACUGGGCGUAAAGCGUGCGCAGGCGGUUGUGUAAGUCAGAUGUGAAAUCCCCGGGCUCAACCUGGGAAUUGCAUUUGAGACUGCACGGCUAGAGUGUGUCAGAGGGGGGUAGAAUUCCACGUGUAGCAGUGAAAUGCGUAGAUAUGUGGAGGAAUACCGAUGGCGAAGGCAGCCCCCUGGGAUAACACUGACGCUCAUGCACGAAAGCGUGGGGAGCAAACAGGAUUAGAAACCCCGGUAGUCCCA
rnacentral:rRNA from 1 species